rnacentral:rRNA from 1 species
CUACGGGACGCUGCAGUGGGGAAUAUUGGACAAUGGGGGAAACCCUGAUCCAGCAAUGCCGCGUGUGUGAAGAAGGCCCGCGGGUUGUAAAGCACUUUCGGUUGGGAGGACUGCUUCUAGCACUAAUAUUGUUGGAAGUUGACGUUACCUUCAGAAGAAGCACCGGCUAACUCCGUGCCAGCAGCCGCGGUAAUACGGAGGGUGCAAGCGUGUAAUCGGAAUUACUGGGCGUAAAGCGCGCGUAGGCGGCUAGAUCAGUCGGGUGUGAAAGCCCCGGGCUUAACCUGGGAACUGCAUCCGAUACUGUCUAGCUUGAGUACAGGAGAGGAGAGUGGAAUUCCACAUGUAGCGGUGAAAUGCGUAGAUAUGUGGAGGAACACCAAUGGCGAAGGCAGCUCUCUGGCCUGAUACUGACGCUGAGGUGCGAAAGCGUGGGGAGCAAACAGGAUUAGAUACCCGCGUAGUC